rnacentral:rRNA from 1 species
UACGUAGGGGGCUAGCGUUGUCCGGAAUCAUUGGGCGUAAAGAGCGCGUAGGCGGCCAGAUAAGUCCGGUGUGAAAGUCAAAGGCUCAACCUUUGAAUGCCGCUGGAAACUGUCUGGCUAGAGUCCGGAAGGGGCGAGUGGAAUUCCUGGUGUAGCGGUGAAAUGCGUAGAUAUCUGGAGGAACACCGGUGGCGAAGGCGGCAUCCUGGACCGGCAUUGACGCUGAGGCGCGAAAGCCAGGGGAGCAAACGGG